GACGAACGCUGGCGGCGUGCUUAACACAUGCAAGUCGAACGGAAAGGCCCUGCUUUCGUGGGGUGCUCGAGUGGCGAACGGGUGAGUAACACGUGAGUAACCUGCCCUUGACUUUGGGAUAACUUCAGGAAACUGGGGCUAAUAUCGGAUAGGAGCUCCUGCUGCAUGGUGGGGGUUGGAAAGUUUCGGCGGUUGGGGAUGGACGCGCGGCUUAUCAGCUUGUUGGUGGGGUAGUGGCUUACCAAGGCUUUGACGGGUAGCCGGCCUGAGAGGGUGACCGGGCACAUGGGGACUGAGGUACGGCGCAGACGCCUACGGGAGGCAGCAGUGGGGAAUAUGGCACAGUGGGCGGAAGCCUGAGGCGGCAACGCCGGGUGCGGGAUGACGGCCUUCGGGUUGUAAACCGCUUUCGCCUGUGACGAAGCGGGAGUGACGGUAAUGGGUGAAGAAGCACCGGCUAACUACGUG
rnacentral:rRNA from 1 species